UUAACAUCCACAAUGUGAUUUAAGAUGUAAUCAACAUAAAGCUUGAUUGCAUUAUUUUGCAUGCUGUUUUCCAAAUCCAGCUUCGUGUCACACCUACAGCACAUCUCACUCAAGCUGGCCACAUCCCCGCCAUCCAGACGUAAAACAGUCACAAGACAGGGCAGGCAGGGCCGCGGAGGAGGCUGGCUGGGGCCAUCACGGAGUGCCCAUCCUGCACUGUGGUCCCAGCAAGUUUCUUUCUCCUGGCAAGAAGCCUGUCCCAGGCUGGCAGGGGACAGCGUGAGGUGCAGCCUAUGGACUGGGAAAGGGGUGUGGAAGGGCCACACCUAAGUCCUAAAAUCCAGGCCCAAAAGUGGCCCAACUCACUUCUCUGACUUUAAUCACACAGCCAUACCUGGUGGCAAAGGAGUAUUGGAAAUGGAGUCAGGCUGGGUAGCCACGAGCCCAGGAAGAGGGGAGAACAGACUUGGAGAGGGCAGGAGUCUCUGGCCACCAGGGGCUAAAGAGCCUUCGAUGAGGCAGUGAUGUGGGGUCCUGGGCUCAGACCCAGGGUGGGUGGCUAAGGUGCCCUCGCCAGGGCUUAGCCACCCCAACAGAGAUGGGUUUCGUGCCCACGAGAGUGCCUGUGCCUUGUGACGAGAAUUCACCAUGUUUUUGUCUCUGCAGGCAGAGAACAGCAUUGACUUCGUCAGCAGGGAGCUGUGUGCGCAUUCCAUCAGGAAGCUGCAGGCCCAUGUCCUGUUGAUCAAGUGAGUCUGGACCCAUCCCCUUCAGUCACCCCCCAAGGAGACAUGGGCGCCAGGAAUCUCUGGGAGGGGGCCCUGGCAUGAGGCUCCAAGUUCUCUGCGUGUCGACCACAUCGCUAAGACUCAAGAUCUUUUUUGGGAAGCCCCCCUGGCAGCAGGGUCAUGGAAGGAGGAAGGUCAGAGGAGGGGAGGGCUCAGGCAGCAGGGGAUGGGCCGGGGCUGUCCCAUGCCUUUCCACAGGUGUCAGCGGGGGGCAUGCCCAGGUAAGGCUCCAUAACCAGUGAGCCCAGUCUCGACUCACUGCAACCUCUGCCUCCUGGAUUCAAACGAUUCUCCUGCCUCAGCCUCCCGAGUAGCUGGGACUACAGGCGCCCGCCACCACGCCUGGCUUAUUUUUGUAUUUUUAGUAGAGACGAGGUUUCGCCAUGUUGGCCAGGCUGCUCUCCAUCUCCUGACCUCAUGAUCCGCCUGCCUCGGCCUCCCAGUGUUGGGAUUACAGGCGAGAGCCACCGUGCGUGGCCCACCAUAGACGAUUUUUAAGCCAUAAAAAGAAACGAAGCACUGACAUGGGCUCCAGCAUGGAUGAGCCUUGAAAACAUCGCACUAAGUGGAUGAAGUCAGACACAACCGUCUACGUGUUGUAUGGCUGCAUUCACGUUCAAGUCCAAAUAGGACACACGGCAGAGACAAAGCCAGGUCAUGGUUGCUCAGGACCGGAAGCCUGUUGGGGGUGGGGGGGUGGGGUGUGUGUGUGUGUGUGUAAGCUCAGAGGUUUGCGAUUUCUUUGGGGGUGAUGAAAAUGUAAUUGUGACGAUGGUCUCACAACUCAAUGUAUUAAAAACCACGGGAUUGUAGACUUUUUUUUUUUUUUUUUUGAGAUGGAGUCUGGCUCUGUCGCCCAGGCUGGAGUGUAGUGGUGCAAUCUCAGCUCACUGCAAGGUCCGCCUCCCGGGUUCACGCCAUUCUCCUGCCUCAGCCUCCGGAGUAGCUGGGACUACAGGCACCCACCACCAAGCCCGGCUAAUUUUUGUAUUUUUAGUACAGACAGGGUUUCACCAUGUUAGCCAGGAUGGUCUCAUCUCCUGACCUCGUGAUCCACCCGCCUCAGCCUCCCAAAGUGCUGGGAUUACAGGCGUGAGCCACCAUACCCGGCCAGGAUUGUAGACUUUCAAUGGGAGGAUUGUGAAGACAUAAAUUCUCUCUCAGAGCAAGUGUGGGCUCCAGCGCCUGUUCAGAUCCCAGCUCUGCUGUUCAGGGCUGACUGUGACCAAGUCCUGAACUCCCUGCGCCCCAGCAAGGCUGUGCCUUCAGCACUUGCUUGCGCCUGGCUUGUGCCAGCUGAGCGUGAGCUGAGAUUAACUGAGCCUCAAAUCCAACCCAGGGUCAAGGGACCCAGCUGUGGGAGUUGGGGUAGCCCAGGCUUUGGUUUCUCCUCAGAGGCCUGAACCCAGGGCAGGAUGGGGGCACCGCUGGGAGGCGGUUCUAAGAUGAACCCCAACAACCCCCAACUCCUCACUUUCCAGAGCAGUCCACGGAUAUUUUGAUCCAAGAGAGAAUUACUCUGACAAGGAGUCCCUGUCGUUCAUGAUAGACACAAUGAAAUCCACCCUCAAAGAGGACUACUUCGGAUACAAUCACAGCAACCCUGGCCUCGGCCCUGCCCUGUCCCUGCCAUGCAACUUCACAACUCAGCUGGCCUAGACCCCUGGGAGGCCUCCAAGUCCCUAAGGUUAGACAUCUCCUGGGGUGCUAUGGACUGUCGGGGCUCCAAGGAGCCGAGUGUGGGGGAAACUCACUGUGGGAGGCGCUCCUGACCUGCAGGGAGCUGGAAUGCUGUGGGAGGGCCCUGACCCCGGGGCCCAUGGAGCUCCCUAGGCUCCUCUGGCCACAUCUCACUACCCACCCCCUCCCCUCUCCAGCGGUUCCAGUUUGUGGAAGUCCCAGGCAAUCACUGUGUCCACAUGAGCGAACCCCAGCACGUGGCCAGUAUCAUCAGCUCCUUCUUACAGUGCACACACACGCUCCCAGCCCAGCUGUAGCUCUGGGCCUGGAACUAUGAAGACCUAGUGCUCCCAGACUCAACACUGGGACUCUGAGUUCCUGAGCCCCACAACAAGGCCAGGGAUGGUGGGGACAGGCCUCACUAGUCUUGAGGCCCAGCCUAGGAUGGUAGUCAGGGGAAGGAGCGAGAUUCCAACUUCAACAUCUGUGACCUCAAGGGGGAGACAGAGUCUGGGUUCCAGGGCUGCUGUCUCCUGGCUAAUAAUCUCCAGCCAGCUGGAGGAAGGAAGGGCGGGCUGGGCCCA
rnacentral:lncRNA from 1 species